rnacentral:rRNA from 1 species
UGGGGAAUCUUGCGCAAUGGGCGAAAGCCUGAUCCAGCAAUGCCGCGUGAGUGAUGAAGGCCUUAGGGUUGUAAAGCUCUUUCGCCCGCGACGAUGAUGACGGUAGCGGGAGAAGAAGCCCCGGCUAACUUCGUGCCAGCAGCCGCGGUAAUACGAAGGGGGCGAGCGUUGUUCGGAUUUACUGGGCGUAAAGGGCGCGUAGGCGGCGGAUCGAGUCGAGUGUGAAAGCCCCGGGCUCAACCUGGGAGGUGCGCUCGAGACUGGUUUGCUUGAGUUCGGGAGAGGAGCGUGGAAUUCCCAGUGUAGAGGUGAAAUUCGUAGAUAUUGGGAAGAACACCGGUGGCGAAGGCGGCGCUCUGGACCGAGACUGACGCUGAGGCGCGAAAGCGUGGGGAGCAAACAG